rnacentral:misc_RNA from 1 species
GGGCAACCUUGGAGAAGAUCAGAAUUUCCCUAUCGUUUUAUGGUUGACAGCAGUGAAAACUUGUCAGGACCCUUGGAAUAAAUUCGCAACCUGCUAUCUUCCAUGCACACAUCCAUAAUUGUUGAAAGAACCUAGCCCUAGAAACUGGAUAUUCAUCCUAGUCAUCCGCUCUAAAGUAUAAAGUAUGAAAAAGAAUAUAUUCCCUUCGCAAACAUUAAAUUCAUUUUUCA